GACACCACCACCAAUUCCUAGGACACCUCCUUUUACACCACCACCAAUUCCUAGGACUCCUCCUACUACACCACCAUCAAUUCCAACAACACCGCCGCGUAAUUGUCCACUUUUAAGCUUGAAUGUUUGUGCCAACCUAUUGAAUAAAUUCGUGAUUAACCCAGGAUCCAAUCCUUGUUGUAGCCUCAUCAGCGGCCUUGUUGAUUUAGACGCUUCUGUGUGUCUUUGCACUGCACUUAAAGCUAAUGUCUUAGGAAUAAUCCGUCCUGAGAUCAAUGUUGACUUGGAAGUCAUCUUGAACCGUUGUGGGCGUAAGGCCACUAAUUACAUAUGUAGACGUUAAGAAUAUAACAUGUAUGAGCAAUGGCCAAUGCAUGCCAUUGCCAAUGGAUGAUUCCUGUUAUACUAUAUUAACUAAUUAUGUACCAAUAAAUUAAUUACGUCCAUUAUAAUAGUACUAAACUAUAAAAUUCCAGUGAUCUUGUUCUUAAUUGUGAUUGGAAGCCUCUGCAUUUGUUGAAUUUUGGGAGCCAAAGUUGCUUAGCAAAUGUCUUUUCUUUAUACCUAGUUUAUGAAAUUGCAUGCGUUAGUUUUAUAUUACUUAUAAUUAAUUUGUAUUAACAUAAUCACCAAUAUUGCUUAAUUUUUUUUUUAAUCUAAGAAAUCUCACAUGUUGAUGCUUGAAAAAUUAAAAUGUUUAUAAGUGAUAGAAAGUUUGAGUCCUCUAGAAGCUUAACUUCUGAUAAACAAAUUACUUAUCCUUUGAUAAAGCUUUCCCUCCAAAAUUGUCUAAUUUAA
rnacentral:lncRNA from 1 species